rnacentral:rRNA from 1 species
GCGAACGCUGGCGGCAGGCUUAACACAUGCAAGUCGAGCGGGCCCUUCGGGGUCAGCGGCGGACGGGUGAGUAACGCGUGGGAACGUGCCUUCUGGUCUGGAAUAACCCUGGGAAACUAGGGCUAAUACCGGAUACGCCCUUUUGGGGAAAGGUUUACUGCCGGAAGAUCGGCCCGCGUCUGAUUAGCUAGUUGGUGGGGUAACGGCCUACCAAGGCGACGAUCAGUAGCUGGUCUGAGAGGAUGAUCAGCCACACUGGGACUGAGACACGGCAGACUCCUACGGGAGGCAGCAGUGGGGAAUAUUGGACAAUGGGCGCAAGCCUGAUCCAGCCAUGCCGCGUGAGUGAUGAAGGCCUUAGGGUUGUAAAGCUCUUUUAUCCGGGACGAUAAUGACGGUACCGGAGGAAUAAGCCCCGGCUAACUUCGUG